rnacentral:rRNA from 1 species
UACAGAGGGUGCAAGCGUUAAUCGGAAUUACUGGGCGUAAAGCGUGCGUAGACGGUUAUUUAAGUCGGGUGUGAAAGCCCCGGGCUCAACCUGGGAAUUGCAUUCGAGACUGAAUAGCUAGGGUGCGGAAGAGGGAAGCGGAAUUUCCGGUGUAGCGGUGAAAUGCGUAGAUAUCGGAAGGAACACCAGUGGCGAAAGCGGCUCACUGGACGGCUCGUGACGCUGAGGCGCGAAAGCGUGGGGAGCAAACGGG